rnacentral:antisense_RNA from 1 species
CUCAACGGUAGCUGUGCGCGGGCAGGCUUGGUCCUGGCCGGGUUCCUAGGUCUCCGGUCUCUCACCCCGCGUACGGCUGCCACCCGA